rnacentral:rRNA from 1 species
CCUACGGGGGGCAGCAGUGCGGAAUAUUGGUCAAUGGGCGCGAGCCUGAACCAGCCAAGUAGCGUGACGGAUGACUGCCCUACGGGUUGUAAACUUCUUUUAUAAAGGAAUAAAGUGAGGCACGUGUGCCUUUUUGUAUGUACUUUAUGAAUAAGGAUCGGCUAACUCCGUGCCAGCAGCCGCGGUAAUACGGAGGAUCCGCGCGUUAUCCGGAUUUCUUUGGUUUAAAGGGAGCGUAGCUGGUUUGUUAAGUCAGUUGUGAAAGUUUGCGGCUCAACCGUAAAAUUGCAAUUGAGACUGGCAGUCUUGAGUACAGUUGAGGUAGGCGGAAUGCGUGGUGUAGCGGUGAAAUGCAUAGAUAUCACGCAGAACUCCGAUCGCGAAGGCAGCCUACCGGCGCGCAACUGACGCUCAUGCACGAAAGCGUGGGUAUCGAACAGGAUUAGAUACCCGGGUAGUC